UCCUAUAUAGUUUUAUUGUAUUCCUUGUAUUCCUUGGAUUGGGUUUUGACUUUCUCCUGAAUGUCAAUGAUCAUUCCUAUCCAUAUUCUGAAUUCUAUUUUUGUCAUUUCAGCCUUUUCAGCCUGGUUAGGAAACAUUGCUGGGGAACUAGUGCAGUGAUUUGGAGUGCUCUCAGAGUGUAGGCUCCUUUCCCACUCAAGUGCUGGCUGCAGAUCUGGGUUUGGCACUCCUGGACGUCAUACUGCAGUCCCGGGCUUGCCCAUGGUCAUCUGGAAAAGGGAACCACUGAGAACUCAUGAUGCCUUACUUACAGAACGGUCCUGUGGGGUAAAUGAGAAAUCCUAUACAGAGAAGAUGGCACCUAAAGAAAUCCUAUACAGAGAAGAUGGCACCUAGUCUUCAACAAAUGUUCAUCCUGGCCCACUUUUCUUCUCCUUCCCAGAGAAGUGAUGACUGUCAUCUAAACCAAACAGCAUAACUACCACAGAGACCAGCUGGUAAUGGAGUAGGAAGAAGUAGCAUAUACUUACAUUUAGUUUAUAAAUGAAGCUUUGGGGCUAUUUCUGUGAUGCAGGAUGGCUUUGCCAAGGAAUGUAGGAAGAGGGAAAAGAUCAUCAAACCAUUUCUUUAAUUCUGUGUCAUUUUUGCCCCAUUAUUUGAGCUUCUAUACUGAUACUGGAAAAAUAGUUUCCUAUGGAGUCUCAAAUAAAGAGUGCAGAUAAAGAGGAGAGAGAAGUCACAUGCCCUUGACCCUCAUACCAUUACCACCUACAGGACUCUGAACCAGGAUUUCAUCUGCACCAGUGGGUAAUUCAAAGUGGGAGGAGUUGUUGAAUGUGUAUCCAUGAGGGCACAAUAUUACAAACGUGUAAAACUACUAGGUUUUAAAUCCUAGAAUGUCAUGGUGUAUAAAAUAUUGAUAAUUAUUGCUUUGGUUUUGAAUUAGGGGAAAAUAUAUCCUCGUAUACUUGGAA